rnacentral:lncRNA from 1 species
CAAGAUGUUUCACUGAGUCGACUCGACCGCCUCCACAUCCCAUCCCAAGUUAGAUUUUUGUUCUUCUUUUUUUUUUAUCAGUGUAAUGGAAUUGAUUAGUUGAAAAUCAUUCGGAUGUUCUCUGCGCAUCGCAAACGAGUAAUUUUAGUUUGUAUUGGAUGAAUUCAUUGUUAUGUGCUUUGAGACUGAUUCCAAUUUUUUUUUUUUUUUGGUUUCUCACUAGAGCCUAUUUGCUAAAAGGCUAGUUGCAAUGGCACCGUCGCGUAACGUCAUUGUAGCCACUGGUCUGGUUGUUUUCGCCUCUGCAGGCUUAGCUUUUCCCUUCUACCCCCGCUCUUCGUUUUUCUACUGUUUAAAAGCUUUUCUCGUCGUGUGGAAUGAUGUUUUUCCUUGUCUCAUUUGAUCGCAGAUCGUCCAAGAAACCAGUGAUUGAUCCAACAAAACCGUUACCUCCUCAAGCAACGUUUAGAGGACCUUACAUUAACACUGGUUCACGUGAUGUUGGUCCUGACGAUCUAUCUAAC